UUUAUUGGGCAUCCUGGAAAAAGGUGGACGAACCCGGUACAUAAGAAACCCUACCGUGGACAUUAUCUCAGUCGGAUGGGGCCAAGAAGUCCCAUACCGGAAAGAUCUUGAGAGAUAUAGUUCACUUUCAUACCAGACGAAGUAUCGAGAUGAUGGUGUUUUGGUAUCCAUUAUCGGACGGGAUAUGAGGAUGACCGGGUUAAUUGUCAAAUCUUGAUACUAGCUCC
rnacentral:lncRNA from 1 species